UUUCACAGUUUACCACAAGAGGGCUCUGGCACUUGUUUAUAUUUGUCCUAAAGCUUACAGUCUAGAAACAUAGUCUUCAACAGAUACUGAACAAAGUCAAGGAAACGGAAGACAAACCAGCAUUUAAAACCACGGAACAGAUGGAACCAGUUAACAACCCUGGGAACAGUGCCAGAGCGGGUGAACAGAAACAUGUCGACUCUCCGCAGAAACUCACUAAAGAAGCACGUUUACAAUUAAUACAUCUUUUGAACGACACCUUACUGCAUACUGCACAUUGCAAAGA